CCUACGGGAGGCAGCAGUGGGGAAUCUUGCACAAUGGAGGAAACUCUGAUGCAGCGAUGCCGCGUGAGUGAAGAAGGCCCUUGGGUUGUAAAGCUCUUUCGUCGGGGAAGAAAAUGACUGUACCCGAAUAAGAAGGUCCGGCUAACUUCGUGCCAGCAGCCGCGGUAAUA
rnacentral:rRNA from 1 species